GACGAACGCUGGCGGCGUGCUUAACACAUGCAAGUCGAACGGAAAGGCCCUGCUUUUGUGGGGUGCUCGAGUGGCGAACGGGUGAGUAACACGUGAGUAACCUGCCCUUGACUUUGGGAUAACUUCAGGAAACUGGGGCUAAUACCGGAUAGGAGCUCCUGCUGCAUGGUGGGGGUUGGAAAGUUUCGGCGGUUGGGGAUGGACUCGCGGCUUAUCAGCUUGUGGGUGGGGUAGUGGCUCACCAAGGCUUUGACGGGUAGCCGGCCUGAGAGGGUGACCGGCCACAUUGGGGCUGAGAUACGGCCCAGACUCCUGCGGGAGGCAGCAGUGGGGAAUAUUGCCCAAUGGGCGGAAGCCUGAUGCAACAACGCCGCGUGCGGGAUGACGGCCUUCGGGUUGUAACCCGCUUUCGCCUGUGACGAAGCGUGAGUGACGGUAAUGGGUAAAGAAGCACCGGCUAACUACGUG
rnacentral:rRNA from 1 species